UGUUUCUGGGCUGGCCAUCCGAUGAUAAACACAGAAGAAAACUCGGAAGUAGAAUUCAAAACUUGAGAGAAUGAAAUCGGGUUCUUGACAGUGAAAAUAGCUGCAAAGCGAAUUUUGAGAUGAAUAGUGAAAAAUUUCCAUAAGUGAGAAGAUUGUGUCGGCAUCCUACAUUCGCCAGGGGUCACAGGCACGUGACAGUCAUGAGCAGCUGAUUAGACAGCUUUUGGACCAGGAACCAAACAGCAAAAUGAACUGGCUGUGAUGGACAGUAACAACUUCUUUGGAAACUGUGGUGUUGGUGAGAGGGAGGGCAGAAUGGC